rfam:Ovis aries breed Texel chromosome 17, whole genome shotgun sequence.
UCCCUGGUGGCUCAGAGGAUAAAGCGUCUGCCUGCGAUGCGGGAGGCCCAGGUUCAAUCCCUGGGUGGGGAA